rnacentral:rRNA from 1 species
GACGAACGCUGGCGGCGUGCUUAACACAUGCAAGUCGAACGGAAGGGCCCUGCUUUUGUGGGGUGCUCGAGUGGCGAACGGGUGAGUAACACGUGAGUAACCUGCCCUUGACUUUGGGAUAACUUCAGGAAACUGGGGCUAAUACCGGAUAGGAGCUCCUGCUGCAUGGUGGGGGUUGGAAAGUUUCGGCGGUUGGGGAUGGACUCGCGGCUUAUCAGCUUGUUGGUGGGGUAGUGGCUUACCAAGGCUUUGACGGGUAGCCGGCCUGAGAGGGUGACCGGCCACAGUGGGACUGAGAUACGGCCCAGACUCCUACGGGAGGCAGCAGUGGGGAAUAUUGCACAAUGGGCGGAAGCCUGAUGCAGCAACGCCGCGUGCGGGAUGACGGCCUUCGGGUUGUAAACCGCUUCCGCCUGUGACGAAGCGUGAGUGACGGUAAUGGGUAAAGAAGCACCGGCUAACUACGUG